GCUGGGCAUGAUGGCACAUGCCUGUAGUCCCAGCUACUCAGAAGGCUGAGGCGGGAGAAUUGCUUGAGCCCAGGAGUUUGAGGCUGCAGUGAGCCAUGUUCAUGCCACUGCACUCCAGCCUGGGCGAUAGAGUGAGACUUUGCCUCAA
rnacentral:SRP_RNA from 1 species